AGCCCCGUGGUGAAGAAAUACGUCGGAUUGCAAAUCCGAAGGUGUAGGUUAAUACCUUCCGGGGCUU
rnacentral:tRNA from 2 species